GAUAAUGAAUUAUGUAUGCAUGACUCGCAUAAUUUUAUGUAAGUAAACGCUUGAGUUCAAAUAGAUAAGGAAUCAAAAACUGGUACAUUAGGUAUACGACUUUUGUAGUAUGUAUCAUCAUUCACAAUAGUGAAAUUUCAUACCCAAGAAAAGGGUAAAUGAUAUCCUCUCAUUGACAUUACAUGAUAGACAAAAAGUAAAUAUGGCCACGGGUCUUUUGUAUUUGUGAUGAAUUACUUGAUUACUAC
rnacentral:lncRNA from 1 species